UACGUAGGGCGCAAGCGUUGUCCGGAAUUAUUGGGCGUAAAGAGCUCGUAGGCGGCCUGUCGCGUCUGCUGUGAAAUCCCGGGGCUUAACCCCGGGCGUGCAGUGGAUACGGGCUGGCUGGAGGCAGGCAGGGGAGAACGGAAUUCCCGGUGUAGUGGUGAAAUGCGUAGAUAUCGGGAGGAACACCAGUGGCGAAGGCGACUACCUGGCCUGUUCUUGACGCUGAGGCGCGAAAGCUAGGGGAGCAAACGGG
rnacentral:rRNA from 1 species